GCCGACAUAGCUCAGUCGGUAGAGCAGCGGUUUCGUAAACCGCAGGUCGCCGGUUCAAGUCCGGCUGUCGGCUCCA
rnacentral:tRNA from 1 species